AUUGAACGCUGGCGGCAUGCUUUACACAUGCAAGUCGAACGGUAACAGGCCUUCGGGUGCUGACGAGUGGCGAACGGGUGAGUAAUGCAUCGGAACGUGCCCAGAGGUGGGGGAUAACGCAGCGAAAGCUGUGCUAAUACCGCAUGUGAUCUGAGGAUGAAAGCGGGGGACCAGGCAGCAAUGUUUGGCCUCGCGCCUUUGGAGCGGCCGAUGUCAGAUUAGGUAGUUGGUGGGGUAAAGGCCUACCAAGCCGACGAUCUGUAGCUGGCCUGAGAGGACGACCAGCCACACUGGGACUGAGACACGGCCCAGACUCCUACGGGAGGCAGCAGUGGGGAAUUUUGGACAAUGGGCGCAAGCCUGAUCCAGCAAUGCCGCGUGCGGGAAGAAGGCCUUCGGGUUGUAAACCGCUUUUGUACGGAACGAAAAGGCUCUGGCUAAUACCUGGGGCUGAUGACGGUACCGUAAGAAUAAGCACCGGCUAACUACGUG
rnacentral:rRNA from 1 species